rnacentral:lncRNA from 1 species
AAGAAUACAUUUUUUGCACCUUACUACCUCAAGAUCAUGCAGCAGAAGACUGUAGGGUGAUUUGAAAAAUUCUAAAAAAGACUCUAGUGAGUGAUUCUGUGCUACAACAGGUCAAUUCUUGUGUAAUUUGUAUGGUUGGUUUGCUUUCGAUCUUGAAUUGUUUUCGCUGCUUAAUUCCCAACUUCCAUCAAUUGAUAUUAAAGUCAUUCGAAACUCGUAUGAAGGUGACCUGUUCACCAAUUAUUUUUUAUCAUAUUUUCGUUAGAUUAUUUUAUCUUUCGUAUAGUAUAUGAUGAUUGUUUUUUUGUAUAUAAUUGUAUUGUGUUUCCG